AUACGGAGGGCGCAAGCGUUGCCCGGAAUCACUGGGUGUAAAGGUUGCGUAGGCGGGGCUGUAAGUCAUAGGUGAAAGCCCUCGGCUCAACCGGGGAAUUGCCUCUGAUACUGCAGCUCUUGAGUCCCGGAGAGGCCGCUGGAAUUCCUGGUGUAGCGGUGAAAUGCGUAGAUAUCAGGAGGAACACCGGAGGCGAAGGCGGGCGGCUGGACGGGGACUGACGCUGAGGCACGAAAGCGUGGGGAGCAAACAGGAUUAGAAACCCUAGUAGUCC
rnacentral:rRNA from 1 species